rnacentral:lncRNA from 1 species
AAGAAAGGAGAGUUUUGUGAUGUUAUGGUGGUGGUUCAGUGAGAAUGUGGUGGACCAUGGUGGUGAUUUGGUGGCAAAUAGUAAAAGAAAUGGUGGUUGAAGGUGGAGGAAAAAAGAGAAAAGUGAAGAGAGAAAGUUGAAAUAAAAAAGCAAAUGAGAGUGUUUUGGGUGUCUAGGUGCAUAGGACGACAAGUCAAUGGGAGGACAGGGAAAAUGUGGAAAGGAGUGGUUCAAGGGGAAGUAAAGGAAAGUAAGGGAACAUGGGGAGCAAAAUAUGGGCUAUUGAAGGAAAGAAG